rnacentral:rRNA from 1 species
GAUUCCCCUAGUAACUGCGAGUGAAGCGGGAAAAGCUCAAAUUUAAAAUCUGGCGGUCUUUGGCUGUCCGAGUUGUAAUCUAGAGAAGUAAUGCCCGUGCUGGACCGUGUAUAAGUCUCCUGGGAUGGGGCGUCAUAGAGGGUGAGAAUCCCGUCUUUGACACGGACUACCAGUGCAUUGUGGUAUGCUCUCAAAGAGUCGAGUUGUUUGGGAAUGCAGCUCAAAAUGGGUGGUAAAUUCCAUCUAAAGCUAAAUAUUGGCGAGAGACCGAUAGYGAACAAGUACCGUGAGGGAAAGAUGAAAAGAACUUUGGAAAGAGAGUUAAACAGUACGUGAAAUUGCUGAAAGGGAAACGCUUGAAGUCAGUCGCGUUGGCCGGGGAUCAGCCUUGCUUUUGCAUGGUGUACUUUCUGGUUGACGGGUCAGCAUCAAUUUUGACCGCUGGAUAAAGGCCUGGGGAAUGUGGCAGCUUCGGCUGUGUUAUAGCCCCUGGUCACAUACGGCGGUUGGGAUUGAGGAACUCAGCACGCCGCAAGGCCGGGUUUCGACCACGUUCGUGCUUAGGAUGCUGGCAUAAUGGCUUUAAGCGACCCGUCUUGAAACACGGACCAAGGAGUCUAACAUGCCUGCGAGUAUUUGGGUGAAAAACCCGAGUGCGCAAUGAAAGUGAAAGUUGAGAUCCCUGUCGUGGGGAGCAUCGACGCCCGGACCAGAACUUUUGGGACGGAUCCGCGGUGGAGCAUGUAUGUUGGGACCCGAAAGAUGGUGAACUAUGCCUGAAUAGGGUGAAGCCAGAGGAAACUCUGGUGGAGGCUCGUAGCGAUUCUGACGUGCAAAUCGAUCGUCAAAUUUGGGUAUAGGGGCGAAAGACU